UACGUAGGGUGCAAGCGUUAAUCGGAAUUACUGGGCGUAAAGAGCGCGCAGGCGGUCGUUCAAGUCGAGUGUGAAAGCCCCCGGCUCAACUGGGGAGGGUCAUGAUCACUGAUCGACUCGAAGGCAGGAGAGGGAAGUGGAAUUCCCGGUGUAGUGGUGAAAUGCGUAGAUAUCGGGAGGAACACCAGUGGCGAAGGCGACUUCCUGGCCUGUUCUUGACGCUGAGGCGCGAAAGCUAGGGUAG
rnacentral:rRNA from 1 species